rnacentral:rRNA from 1 species
AACGAACGCUGGCGGCAUGCCUAACACAUGCAAGUCGAACGAGACCUUCGGGUCUAUUGGCCCCCGGGUUCGUCACGCGUGGGAACCUUCCCUUAUGUUCGGCAUAACUCUCCGACUGGGGUGCUAAUACCGGAUCAUGUCUACUGACCAACGAUUUAUUGAACUUGGAUGGGCCCGCGUGGGAUUCGCUAUUUGGUAGGGUAAUAGCUUACCAAGGGGACCAUUCACAGCUGGGUAGAGAGGAUGAUCAGCCACACUGGGACUGGGACACGGCCCAGACUCCUACGGGAGGCAGCAGUGGCGAAUAUUGGAAAGUGGGCGAAGGGCUGAUCCAGCAAUGACGCGUGAGUGAUGAAGGCCUUAGGGUUGUAAAGCUCUUUUACCCGGGAUGAUAAUGACAGUACCGGGAGAAAAAGCCCCGGCUAACUCCGUG